GAUGAAGAACGUAGCGAAAUGCGAUAAGUAAUGUGAAUUGCAGAAUUCAGUGAAUCAUCGAAUCUUUGAACGCACAUUGCCCCCCCUGGUAUUCCGGGGGGCAUGCCUGUCCGAGCGUCAUUACAACCCUCAAGCUCAGCUUGGUAUUGGGCCCCGCCGACCCGGCGGGCCCUAAAGUCAGUGGCGGUGCCGUCCGGCUCCGAGCGUAGUAAUUCUUCUCGCUCUGGAGGUCCGGUCGUGUGCUCGCCAGCAACCCCCAAUUUUUUUCAGGUUGACCUCGGAUCAGGUAGGGAUACCCGCUGAACUUAAGCAUAUCAAUAAGGGAGGA
rnacentral:misc_RNA from 1 species